rnacentral:lncRNA from 1 species
UUUUGAAGAGAAUGAGAGUUGUUUGGAAUGGUUUGGAAGACUGGGACCGGCACAUGGGUACAACAAUCCUCAAAGGAGAUGUAAUAUGUGAGUGCCAAGACGAAACAAGAUAUACCAAAAAAUUUUGCCCCGAUUUAGUGUUUGGGAAAAUGAGAAUAGGGGUAUGGAUCCAUGAAAUUAAGGGUGAACAAAUCAAAUGAGACUUGCAAAUCUGCCCCAGUCUUGGGAUCAUGGGUUGAUGAAAAAUUUGUAUGAGACUCACAAAGCUGCCCUAGUCUUGGGUCAUGGGUUGAUGAAAAAUUUUUAUGAGACUCACAAAGUUGUCCCAGUUUUUUCCUUGGCAAAGGGUUCCGUUUGGAAGAGGUGGUGGGCAUGAAAAAGAUCGGCUAAAAGGAUGACCCCAAUUGGUUUGAUUUUCUUUUACAUGCUUCUGGCUAGUUGGCAAGGAGAUCCCCUCUGCCCGAGACAUUAUCUUCUUCUCUUUUUUGUCAUUCAUUUUCAACUUUUUUUUACGACACAUUGAAAGUCAUUUCGCCUUAUCGCAAAAUUAAGCUUUAUGAAAAAUUGAGCAAACAUUAUCCAAUAUGUGUGGGCUUUAUUAGGCUUGUAACGUGGCUAGGGGCUAAAAGGUAUUUGAAAAAAAGGAUAUGAAGGCCCAAAUGAAUGUUUGUUGGUUAUAUUUUUUUGAAACAAGGGUUAUUAUCUAGGCAUUGCAUCAACUAUUUGACUUUUUGAGCACUUUGCUUUUCUUGAACUUCAUGUUUCAUUCUUCUUCAUCAUCACUUUGUGAUUUUUUUUUUGUUUUGUUUUUUUUUUUGUUCAUUCUUCUUGAUUAGUUCUCUCCGUUUGAUCAUUGAGUGCUUUUCAUUUGCAUCAAGGGUUGACUCCUACCUGAUGAUAACCCUUGCUUA